rnacentral:rRNA from 1 species
GAUGAACGCUGGCGGCGUGCCUAAUACAUGCAAGUCGAGCGAACAGACGAGGAGCUUGCUCCUCUGACGUUAGCGGCGGACGGGUGAGUAACACGUGGAUAACCUACCUAUAAGACUGGGAUAACUUCGGGAAACCGGAGCUAAUACCGGAUAACAUGUUGAACCGCAUGGUUCAACAGUGAAAGACGGUCUUGCUGUCACUUAUAGAUGGAUCCGCGCCGCAUUAGAUAGUUGGUAAGGUAACGGCUUACCAAGGCAACGAUGCGUAGCCGACGUGAGAGAGGGAUAGGCGACCCGAGAGGUGAGCCACGGUCAAGACUACUACGAGAGGCAGCAGUAGGGAAUCUUACGCAGUAGGCGAAAGUCUGACGGAGCAGCGCGGCGUGUGUGAAGGAGGUGCUCGGUUCGUAAUACUCUGUUAUGAGGGAAGAACAGAUGUGUCAGUAGCUAAGCCCGGCUUGACGGUAACUAGUAAGAAAGCCACGGCUAACUACGUG